GACGAACGCUGGCGGCGUGCCUAACACAUGCAAGUCAACGGGGUAUUUCUUCGGAGAUACUUAGUGGCAACGGGUGAGUAACGCGUGAGAAACCUGCCUUUCAGUGGGGGACAACAGUUGGAAACGACUGCUAAUACCGCAUAAUGUCAUUUGGGGGCAUCCCCGGAUGACCAAAGAUUUAUUGCUGAAAGAUGGUCUCGCGUCUGAUUAGCUAGAUGCGGGGUAACGGCCACCAUGGCGACGAUCAGUAGCCGGUCUGAGAGGAUGAACGGCCACAUUGGGACUGAGAUACGGCCCAGACUCCUACGGGAGGCAGCAGUGGGGAAUAUUGGGCAAUGGGGGAAACCCUGACCCAGCAACGCCGCGUGAAGGAAGAAGGCCUUCGGGUUGUAAACUUCUUUUACCAGGGACGAACAAAUGACGGUACCUGGAGAAAAAGCAACGGCUAACUACGUG
rnacentral:rRNA from 1 species